UAGGAUACAAAUGACAUGUCAUUAGGGUUACCAUGUUUCGGGUGCUGGUUCUAAAUGUCCUACUGGUGGCUGAGUUUCGGCAUGUGUUAUGGAUACUUGACAACUUGUGUGAGUAGCGCCGUAUAGCUAUGUUCUGACCGACAGCUUGUGUGAGCAGAUCUAUUUAUGGCUCGAGAGAGAGCAUCUAUGUAAAGGGAAAGGAAAGAAUUGGUUUUGACCAUAUGUUAGCAUACAGUGUGUGAGAUUCCUGCGUAUCCAAUAUUAUUCUAAGUGGUUUAACGGGCAUACAAAGGGAAGG
rnacentral:lncRNA from 1 species